rnacentral:rRNA from 1 species
GGUUGCCUACGGGGCGCAGCAGUGGGGAAUAUUGGGCAAUGGGCGCAAGCCUGACCCAGCAACGCCGCGUGAAGGAAGAAGGCUUUCGGGUUGUAAACUUCUUUUCUCAGGGACGAAGAAAGUGACGGUACCUGAGGAAUAAGCCACGGCUAACUACGUGCCAGCAGCCGCGAUAAUACGUAGGUGGCAAGCGUUAUCGGGAUUUAUUGGGUGUAAAGGGCGUGUAGGCGGGAGCGAAAGUCAGAUGUGAAA